UUUAAAUGAUAGAACCGACCCAUCGAAACGCAUAUGCCGCGACUAGAGUGUAGGGUAGCGCCUUCCAGAACAUGCCGUUUUUCUUCUACCUGCAUUCGCAGCGCCAGCGAAAUCGUACGAUUUUUUGCUUAUUUUUCCUUCCUCCAGUCCUCCAGCAUCGAGAGCGCGAGAGAGGAUUUGGGAAAAGUCCCGUAGCUUUUGGCUCGUUUGCUAUGCAAGGCACGCUGCGUGUAGAGAAAUUUUGUGACGCUCGCUCACUUGAAAUUGAAAACCAGAGCAAAGCACACGCAUCGUAGAUCACUUUUACUAUAAUAAUUCCGGCACGUGGAGUAUACAGUUUCAAUCGAAUUAAUAGUAAAGUGCCAGCAAGAGACCAGUGACAAAACUUAAUAAGUGUUGUGCACGAGUGAGAACGGGGCUAGUUUGGCGCUAGGCGACGGCUCUUACGUCCUUCGCUAGGCGUGGGCGUAUCGCCGGCGUGGCAGCCACACGCGGCAGAAGUUGGCGAUCAGCGAACAAGGCGGCGCGGUGCAACCGAGCGGCCAUAACCUAACUUUUCGGAGGCCCUACAGCGGCAGAGACGUCGACGUGCGGCCAACGCAGCACGUGCGCGUAACCCUACUUUUUGGGUACCUCUGCUUUGCCACGUCGGCUGCCAAGGAGCUAUAGCGAUCCGAGUGCGACCGCACUAAACCGGGAGCGAGAAAUCUCCAAGAGUCAGACCAGAGGCGGCCUGUGUCUGAGUUCUCGGAGUAAUGUAACCGGCCUCGUGCAGCCCCAACUAAGGCGAUUCGGCUGUAUGGACAGCGGCUAAGCAUUACCUUUUCGAGCAUAAGCCAGUAGGAACAGUGGAGGUGCAGCGAAGGUAGCUGAGCGGAGACUAGGCAGGAGCAGGCGCAGCCGGAUAGAGAGCUCGCUUGCGCGGCAGGCAUGUGACCUGUCGAAGAAGUUGGAGGCGCGUCGCGGCGAGCAGCGCGCUCACGCUGGAUGAUUCCAGUAACCCGAAGGAUGUAGAGAAGUUUUGAGAUCGAUUAAAUUUAGAGUAAUGCGUAACGUUA